CGAAUACCGCAGUAUUAUACUUGGGAGUCAGACUACGAGUGAUAAGAUCCGUGGUCAAAAGGGAAACAGCCCAGACCACCGGCUAAGGUCCCAAAUGCCGUACUAAGUGGAAAAGGAUGUGGGGAUUCAUAAACAACCAGGAUGUUGGCUCAGAAGCAGCCACCAUUUAAAGAGUGCGUAAUAGCUCACUGGUCGAGAGUCCCUGCGCCGAAAAUUUCCGGGGCUAAAGUACGGAACCGAAGCCGUGGCUGUGCAUGUAAGUGCACGGGGUAGGGGAGCGUUGCCACAGGGGUGAAGCUGGUCUGGAAGGACUGGUGGACUUGUGGGAAGUGAGAAUGUUGGUAUGAGUAGCGAAAAGAAAGGUGAGAAUCCUUUCCACCGAAAGCAUAAGGAUUCCUGAGCAACGAUCGUCGUCUCAGGGUAAGUCGGGACCUAAUCCGAGGCAAAGAGCGUAGGAGAUGGACAACAGGUUGAUAUUCCUGUACCGGCAGCAAUUGUUUGAGCGAAGGAGUGACACAGAAGGGCAGGCAGGCGCGAGACUGGAUUGUCGCGUGCAAGCGUGUAGGGUAGUGUACAGGCAAAUCCGUACACUGAAAGCCUGAGGCGUUACGCGGAGCGAGCAGAGAUGCGAGCGAAGCUGCUGAUCCCACACUGUCGAGAAAAGCUUCUAGUGAGAGAGCUGCCGCCCGUACCGUAAACCGACACAGGUAUGCGGGGAGAGAAUCCUAAGGUGCGCGGGAGAACCCUCGUUAAGGAACUCGGCAAAAUGUACCCGUAACUUCGGGAUAAGGGUAGCCGUCUUGGUGAAGGAGCUUGCCUCUGGAGCUGAAGGCGGUCGCAGAGAAGAGGCCCAAGCGACUGUUUACCACAAACACAGGUGCCUGCUAAAGCGAAAGCUGACGUAUAGGUGCUGACACCUGCCCAGUGCUGGAAGGUUAAGGAAGGAUGUCCGGGCAACCAAAGCAUUCGACCGAAGCCCCAGUGAACGGCGGCCGUAACUAUAACGGUCCUAAGGUAGCGAAAUUCCUUGUCGGGUAAGUUCCGACCCGCACGAAAGGUGUAACGAUUUGGGCACUGUCUCAACGAGGGACCCGGUGAAAUUGAAAUACCUGUGAAGAUGCAGGUUACCCGCGACUGGACAGAAAGACCCCAUGGAGCUUUACUGUAACCUGACAUUGGGUUUUGUUGUAUUACGUACAGGAUAGGUGGGAGGCUUAGAAGGCUGGACGCUAGUCUGGCUGGAGCCGGCGUUGGGAUACCACCCUUGAUACAACGGAAUUCUAACCGAGAGAGUAACGAAAUCCGGGACAGUGUCAGGCGGGCAGUUUGACUGGGGCGGUCGCCUCCGAAAGAGUAACGGAGGCGCCCAAAGGUUCCCUCAGCGCGGCCGGAAAUCGCGCGAAGAGUGUAAAGGCAGAAGGGAGCUUGACUGCGAGCCAAACACGGCGAGCAGGUACGAAAGUAGGGCUUAGUGAUCCGGUGGUACCGAGUGGAAGGGCCAUCGCUCAACGGAUAAAAGCUACCCUGGGGAUAACAGGCUAAUCUCUCCCAAGAGUCCAUAUCGACGGGGAGGUUUGGCACCUCGAUGUCGGCUCAUCACAUCCUGGGGCUGAAGUCGGUCCCAAGGGUUGGGCUGUUCGCCCAUUAAAGUGGUACGUGAGCUGGGUUCAGAACGUCGUGAGACAGUUCGGUCCCUAUCCAUCGCGGGCGCAAGAGAUUUGAAGGGGUCUGCUCCUAGUACGAGAGGACCGGAGUGGACGGACCGCUGGUGUACCAGUUAUUCCGCCAGGAGUACAGCUGGGUAGCUACGUCCGGACUGGAUAAACGCUGAAAGCAUCUAAGCGUGAAGCCAUCCUUAAGAUGAGAUCUCUCACAGAGUAAUCUGGU
rnacentral:rRNA from 1 species